UACGGAGGGUGCGAGCGUUGUCCGGAAUCAUUGGGCGUAAAGGGUGUGUAGGUGGCGCGCUAAGUCGGGUGUGAAAUUUCGGAGCUUAACUCCGAAACUGCAUUCGAUACUGGCGUGCUUGAGGACUGGAGAGGAGACUGGAAUUUACGGUGUAGCAGUGAAAUGCGUAGAUAUCGUAAGGAAGACCAGUGGCGAAGGCGGGUCUCUGGACAGUUCCUGACACUGAGACACGAAGGCCAGGGGAGCAAACGGG
rnacentral:rRNA from 1 species